GCCGGGGUGGCCGAGCGGCCCAAGGCGGCGGGCUCGAGGUCGGCAACAGGGGUUUCCGCGCCGCCGCACGAGAGACCCGUUGCCCCGCGAGGGGCGCGCGGGUUCGAAUCCCGCCCCCGGCG
rnacentral:tRNA from 2 species